UGACAAAGUGAGAACCAAUGAUGUCCGGGUGUCAGACUGGAAGACGUCCUGGUAUCUGAACCAGAUGGAGAAGAAAAGAAAAGACAACAGUGAAGAUGUCACUCAGAUCACUGAUAUCAUUGUUUAUUCUUCUGACGGUCCCAUCAGCUUGAGUUACUUGUACGGACCGCCAAAAAGGCGGAAAUCCACCCCCAGAGGUGGUAGACGCCAUAGAAGAUCACAUAAAGACCUGAUAACAGAAGAACAAUCGAACGGGACAGCAGAAAUUGAGCUUUAAGAAGAAGUAGAGAAACCAUUAACGGUAUACAUCUGGAAGAGGAGAAGACACUAUCUGCUCUGUUUUCAUGAUUAUUUUAUCUGAAAAUUUUGUAGGAUAUAUGAUUAAUAAAAAAAUUCUUGGACUGGAGACAAUCUGUGGAUGCAUUAUAUUAAUCUUAGAGUUUAGUACA